UACAGAGGGUGCAAGCGUUAAUCGGAUUUACUGGGCGUAAAGCGCACGUAGGCGGUUUAUUAAGUCGGGUGUGAAAUCCCUGGGCUCAACCUAGGAAUUGCAUUCGAUACUGGUAGGCUAGAGUGUGGUAGAGGAUAGUGGAAUUCCAGGUGUAGCGGUGAAAUGCGUAGAUAUCUGGAGGAACAUCAGUGGCGAAGGCGGCUAUCUGGACCAACACUGACGCUGAGGUGCGAAAGCGUGGGGAGCAAACAGG
rnacentral:rRNA from 1 species